UCGAACGAUGAACCACUUCGGUGGGGAUUAGUGGCGAACGGGUGAGUAACACGUGGGCAAUCUGCCCUUCACUCUGGGACAAGCCCUGGAAACGGGGUCUAAUACCGGAUAACACUUCCAUUCUCCUGAAUGGUGGUUAAAAGCUCCGGCGGUGAAGGAUGAGCCCGCGGCCUAUCAGCUUGUUGGUGAGGUAAUGGCUCACCAAGGCGACGACGGGUAGCCGGCCUGAGAGGGCGACCGGCCACACUGGGACUGAGACACGGCCCAGACUCCUACGGGAGGCAGCAGUGGGGAAUAUUGCACAAUGGGCGAAAGCCUGAUGCAGCGACGCCGCGUGAGGGAUGACGGCCUUCGGGUUGUAAACCUCUUUCAGCAGGGAAGAAGCGAAAGUGACGGUACCUGCAGAAGAAGCGCCGGCUAACUACGUGCCAGCAGCCGCGGUAAUACGUAGGGCGCAAGCGUUGUCCGGAAUUAUUGGGCGUAAAGAGCUCGUAGGCGGCUUGUCACGUCGGGUGUGAAAGCCCGGGGCUUAACCCCGGGUCUGCAUUCGAUACGGGCAGGCUAGAGUGUGGUAGGGGAGAUCGGAAUUCCUGGUGUAGCGGUGAAAUGCGCAGAUAUCAGGAGGAACACCGGUGGCGAAGGCGGAUCUCUGGGCCAUUACUGACGCUGAGGAGCGAAAGCGUGGGGAGCGAACAGGAUU
rnacentral:rRNA from 1 species